UUAUACUUUGAAUGCCUGCAUUGUUUAGCCUUAUUAAAACAAAACCAAACCACCAAGAGAAGAGAAAAAAAGCUGUUUCUAACUUACUUCACCCAUGACUCUUUGUAAAUUCUUUGAAGCAUCCAGCUUGUAUUUGGGAUUGGUACAUCUUCUCUGAAAGUCAAGAAGGUGAGAGACCUCAGGGAUGCCCCUACCCAGAGGAAUCUUGGGACACGAGAUCAGUAGUGCUUCCUUGGCCCCUCCCGGGUGCUUUCUGAAAAUCAGUGACAUUUCUGUAAAGGGUUUUGUGCCUGUUGAGAGACAUAAAUGCAAUUUAUCAGCAUCUAGGUACUCUGUGUCCCCAGGCACCCACGUACAGAUGAAAGCUUAUCGUCUGGCUCCUGGCAGAAAUCCUUCCCAGUGCGACCUCCUUCGCGCGAAUCUUCUCUAAACAACAUCUGUUCAAAUGGUGCUUCAGAACCGUCUUCUCACGUGUAAUGAAGGACACCGAGACUCCCUGUUAAUUGAAAUGUUUGUCUUCAUUUCCAAAGCUUGGCGUUCUCCCCUCUUCCCUACCUGUUUCCUUGGAGAGUUUUUAGAAUUCCGUCUGGGCAGACCCAUCUGCCAAGCGUCCCCUCCUCUGUUCAUAUCUUUUGGCCACCAUUUGGCUUUGCCCUGAUUUGAUUUGUAAGAGAGAAAUCUCUGUUUCCACCAAAAGAAAGAAAAGAAAUAAAAGCUAAAACAAAAUGAAACCUUUAUGUGUUGCAGAAAAUUAUUUUUCCCCCUAUUUAAUUGUUCGUUGAAAUUCUUACAAGAACACCGUACUCAAACGUUUGGUCCGAGGAAGGCUUUAAACAUAAGAGGCCCCUCGCAGCUUUCUCAUCUGCAAGUCAGCUAGCGUUCAGCUCUUUGGAACACGGGAGAGGAACAAUCGUUCGAUUUCCUUUUCUGCCUCUAAGGAGCGGAGCUGCAGGGAGAACCACUCUGAAGUGUUCUCCCUUUCCAGUAAGGCUCAGGGGCGUACUGUGGAUUACAACUCUAAAAUUUGCGACCAGGUUUCCAUCCCCAAACCGGACAAUAUUCUUUCCCCAGUCUUCUUUGUCUGGAGAUACCAGAGGGGAGAAGGGCCGGUGACAUUUCAAACCUCACGUGUGUUCUCUGUGUCGACUCCGCUGGCUGUUUACCUGUAAGAUCACUGGACGGAGCAGGAUGGCCUUUCAGGCCAAUGUGCCGUAGGCCACGUGUUCCCUCCUUAGCCGCCAUGUGAAGGCGGUGACCAUGUCUUUGACCUGAUGGCAUGGGUGUUUCCUGGGUCAUCUGGCCAUGUGCUUAAACCUUCCAAGUGAUAAUGAUAAAAACAUGCAGAAGUGUUUGCAUGAGGACGGGUAGGGCUUCACCGCCAUUGAGUUUCAGGACGCACUGCCAGCACGUGACAUGGGGCUGUUUGUUGGUGACUCUACGAAAUGCUCGGCGAACGUGGAGUGCCCUACCAGAGCUAUGAACAAGAUGCUGACAGAAUGAUUUGUAUCUCUUUGUCUGCCCUUGUGGGCAAUACAUUUCAUGGCCGCCUCAUUUGCCACCAUAUAACCUGUUCCUGCUACGCUGCCUGAUGAAUACGAGGCAUUCUUUGACUAUGUGCUCAGUGAAUGAAUCAAUGAACGGAUUUGCCGCUUAAACACACUUGCUGUCGUUACAAUUGCAGUGCUAGAAGCGCGUUGGUACAUCUCCUGGUGUGGAACAGACGUACGGAUUCUGUAAAGGGAACAAAUCUUCCAGCACCCGUGUCACUGCAGAUGAGUGAGUGGGGCCCCCGAGACGCCCUGCAGGGGCAGAACGAGUGCUCGGGCACCAAGCACAGCUCCUGGCACACAGGAACUCCUCAAGUAUAACCAGUCCAGGCUGAUGGUCAGAGAACGAGAGGCUGUGAGGAGCCCGACUGAGCCAUUCUUGCCAGUGGAGUCUCAGCCGACCUGCGCUGAUAACGGGAUCAUGGGCGAGCCCAAAUUAAAUCCACGAGCCCUUCCCAUGUCGACAGAGCUUCCUGGCCAGUCCACAGACCCAUGAGAGACAAUAAACAGUUGCUUUCUUAAACCACGAA